rnacentral:rRNA from 1 species
UAUUGGACAAUGGGGGCAACCCUGAUCCAGCCAUGCCGCGUGUGUGAAGAAGGUCCUCNGAUUGUNANACACUUUAAGUUGGGAGNCAGGGCUUUAGGUUAAUACCCUGAAUUUUUGACGUUACCACCAGAAUAAGCACCGGCUAACUCUGUGCCAGCAGCCGCGGUAAUACAGAGGGUGCAAGCGUUAAUAGCAAUUACUGGGCGUAAAGCGCGCGUAGGUGGGUCAGUAAGAUGGGUGUGAAAACCCCGGGCUUAACCAGGGAACUGCUUUCAUAACUGCUGAGCUAGAGUACGGUAGAGGGUAGUGGAAUUGCCUGUGUAGCGGUGAAAUGCGUAGAUAUAGGAAGGAACACCAGUGGCGAAGGCGACUACCUGGACUGAUACUGACACUGAGGUGCGAAAGCGUGGGGAGCAAA